CUUCAGGAAAUGGGGCCUUUGGAAUGUGAGUUUUGGCAGAAGGUGGACUAGCUGAAGAAGAAGAAGAAGGUUUUAGAUUUCCAUUUGACACAUUUCUAUCCUCUUCUCCACCUUUCUUAUUGUUAUCCUCCCCAAUCUUAUUGUCUACUACACGUCCACUCCUUAGGGUAGUCAAAGCAUUGGCUUGUUCACGAUGAAUUGUAUUUAGUUGAUUUUCUUGAGCCAUGUAUUGUCCCCUAGGAUUACUCACUGGUUGGCUUGGAAACUUUUCUUCCUCUCGCUUGUUCAGU
rnacentral:lncRNA from 1 species